GACAGGCAUCCAGGACGGCUGAGCGGAGCAGGCUGGGCCUGGCCUGCUUGGGAGCGAAUGGCGGCGGGGUCCAGGGGACUCGGAUGAGGAGCGCCUCCUUUCGAGCAUCCACGGGAGGGAUGGCCAGUCCCCUUCCCUUCUCGCUAGAAGUCGCCCGGGAGAUCACCUAGUCUCCCCUCGCUGCGGGCUGCUCAGGAACCGCGCCUCCCCCCGCCCUGCCGAGCCCCUUGUAGCCAGUGUUAGCGGUGCUGGCCGCGACUAACCUUAGCCUUUGUCCCUGCGUCUGGUUCUACAGCUGCUGUAGGGGCCGCACAACCGUCCGCACUGUACAUGGAAACCAUCUUUUCUCUUCCUUUGUGUUUGGGCUAAGACCCUUCAUUCCCUGUACCAGAAGGAAUGAAAAGACUGGGCAGGAGCGUGCCUGAUGCUCGCCGAAGGAUGCGACAUGGAUCCAAGAAAACAAACCCUGCCCCUCUUCGAGAACAGCAAGUGCUCUUAAUCGCCGAACCGUAGCUCCAGCCCCCAGGGUUGGCUUUUUGCAGAAGACAGGGAUCUCCUUUUUUGUGGUAUGUUGGAAAACAGAAAAAUAAAUAAAUAAAUUGGCAACUGGA